GAUGAACGCUGGCGGCGUGCUUAACACAUGCAAGUCGAACGAUGAAGCCCUGCUUGCGGGGUGGACUAGUGGCGAACGGGGGUGUAACACGCGAGUAACAUGCGCUUAAGACUGGGAUAAGACUGGGGGACUGGGGGUAUUACAGCAGAUGAGAGUUCACGGCACGGGGGGGGUGGGGGAGAUUUGCCGGUUUUGGAUGGACUCGCGGCUUAUCAGCUUGUUGGUGGGGUAAUGGCUCACCAAGGCGACGACGGGUAGCCGGCCUGAGAGGGUGACCGGCCACAUUGGGACUGAGAUACGGCCCAGACUCCUACGGGAGGCAGCAGUGGGGAAUAUUGCACAAUGGGCGGAAGCCUGAUGCAGCGACGCCGCGUGCGGGAUGACGGCCUUCGGGUUGUAAACCUCUUUCGGUAGGGAAGAAGCGAGAGUGACGGUACCUGCAGAAGAAGCACCGGCUAACUACGUG
rnacentral:rRNA from 1 species